CCAGUACCGUGAGGGAAAGGCGAAAAGAACCCCGGCGAGGGGAGUGAAAAAGAACCUGAAACCGUGUACGUACAAGCAGUGGGAGCACAGGUUUACCUGUGUGACUGCGUACCUUUUGUAUAAUGGGUCAGCGACUUAUAUUCUGUAGCAAGGUUAACCGUAUAGGGGAGCCGGAGGGAAACCGAGUCUUAACCGGGCGUUAAGUUGCAGGGUAUAGACCCGAAACCCGGUGAUCUAGCCAUGGGCAGGUUGAAGGUUGGGUAACACUAACUGGAGGACCGAACCGACUAAUGUUGAAAAAUUAGCGGAUGACCUGUGGCUGGGGGUGAAAGGCCAAUCAAACCGGGAGAUAGCUGGUUCUCCCCGAAAGCUAUUUAGGUAGCGCCUCGUGAAUUCAUCUCCGGGGGUAGAGCACUGUUUCGGCUAGGGGGCCAUCCCGGCUUACCAACCCGAUGCAAACUGCGAAUACCGGAGAAUGUUAUCACGGGAGACACACGGCGGGUGCUAACGUCCGUCGUGAAGAGGGAAACAACCCAGACCGCCAGCUAAGGUCCCAAAGUCAUGGUUAAGUGGGAAACGAUGUGGGAAGGCCCAGACAGCCAGGAUGUUGGCUUAGAAGCAGCCAUCAUUUAAAGAAAGCGUAAUAGCUCACUGGUCGAGUCGGCCUGCGCGGAAGAUGUAACGGGGCUAAACCAUGCACCGAAGCUGCGGCAGCGAACGUAUCACUUAAAGCGAUUCAGCGGGUUACGAUUGACGGAGCGAAGCGACGUCAAAGCGUAUACAAAGUCGAGUCGGUUUAAGGAUACGUUCGUUGGGUAGGGGAGCGUUCUGUAAGCCUGUGAAGGUGUGUCGUGAGGCAUGC
rnacentral:rRNA from 1 species